UUAUGGAAUUUGCUCUGCAGACAGGCAAGAGCAGCUGUUUUCUGUCCAAGUCACUUCUGAUUGUUUGGAAGUCCCUGGCUGCCUGCUGAGGAGACCCUGGCCCACAGAUAGAACCUGGCUGAGAGUUCUGUCGUUGAAGCCUCUCAGAUUUUCACUGGUGUGAAUAGUUUUGAACUUGGAUUUUGCAACCAACUCUGGGCUUCAGCAUGUGGCCCAGCAAGGGCCUGGAAAGGACUUCCUGCCCAGACCGUGGUCAUUUAAUCCUUCAGGGGAAAGAAUGGGAGAGACGCCACAAUACAGCCUCCGACUGUUGGGAUUGAAGCAAGUUUCCCACCGUCUGAGCUCACUGAUACCCCAGUCAGGAGGUACUUUGACCACAGACAGCAUCCAGCCCAUGAGGGCCCCUUCCCCCUUCUCCCACCUCCAGCGUCCCCAGAGGAGAUUGCCCAACCUGCUGGCCCACACAGAUGAACAAGCGGGAUGAGCCCGGCCAACCACAUUUCUGAAGUCAGGGGCCCUGGACUUCAAGGUGCACCGUCUGGUGGCUCCGUCUUCCUACAGAAGCCCCAGGACUUGAUGGGGUGUGUUUAAACUCUCCCCAUUCCUGAUGCCUCCUCUCUUCCCACCUCAAACUCAAGGCGGUUGGUUGCUCCCAGCUUCCUGAGCACCUGGCCUGCCUGCCCGAGCACACCUGAAGACCCUGGUCCUGGCAGCCCUGUCCAAUGCUAGCUGCUAGGGUGGCCACUGCCCACAGUGCCUUGCUGCCUGGGUUUGUAGGGCUGGCGGCUAAGCCACUGGGUGGAGAUCUGUUUUCCUCUCGGCGUCCAUCUGGGCCUAGUUCGGCAGGUAGGACUGGCUAGUCCAGAGGAGAGAUUUUAUGGUGUAAUGAAAAAGUUGAAGCCUGAUUCUGCACCUCUGUCCUGGUCAUGUGUGACGGGCAGGACUCUAGAUAGGCCCCCACCCCUGCCAAGCCACGAUUCCUGUUCCCUGAUUUUCAAUCAUAUGCUGAACUGGGUCCUAAUGUGAGGGGACUUUGAAGAGAUAACUCAAGUCCCCCGGGGAAUCCCCCAGGUGGCCUGGCCUGGACACGGGAACCCUUUAUAGAGUUUUCUCUGGCUGGAAGCAGAAAGGGGGGACUCCGUGAGAUUUGUUGAGUUGAGGGAGGGGCCUCUGUAUGAAGGGGACAAGAGUGGUGACAGGAGAGAUCACCUGGGGCCUACAGUCAGUGAGAGGACCCUAGUUUUGACAUGCAGGUGGCCUGGGAGCCGCUAGAGGGCUGAACUGAAGCCUGGAGACAGCUGAUUUAAAAGAGGGGGCAAGGAAUACAGCCCAGCAGGGAGGCUGCAGCGUCACCUGAUGGGGACAAUGGGCGGAGGAGGUGCCUGCAGAGUGGAGAACUUACAUAGGGAUCCGCUGUGAGAGGAGGGGUCAAGGAAGAUUCUGGGCUUCUGGGCUAAAGGCCAGACUUGCUUUUMACCGCAGGG
rnacentral:lncRNA from 1 species